CUUGAUAACCUUGACGAUCCGGCCAGCCGAGGGGACUUGGACUCCUGUUCAGCUCUGGGGGGUUUCCUGGCAUCGUGUCACACUAGGAAAGUACCACAGAGUUAGAUUGGGAGGCACUCUCAUUGAAAGGGGACCCCAGGAAAGACCCAGGAAGCAGGUAAGCAGGCGGGGACACACCUCCUCCAAAACGGAGCAGAAUGAGGAGAAAGCAGCGGGCCCCUUGGAGGACAGGUGAUUUAGGAACACCUCUGCUCGUCCCCUGCUGGUCUCCUGCCCCAGGAUCUCCUUGUACUCCACCAGUGAGAAGACCUUAUCAUACACCAGGGAAUAUUUUAGAAGUUAUUUCGGUCCUGCUGACUGGCCCAAAAAGCUCCAGGGACCUAGAAAACAAGGUUAGUGAUUCAACUCCUCCACUCAUUGUGAAAACUUGUGUAAAGUGAAUGAGAUGUACAGCUAAAGUGCCUCCUGAGCCGGAAAGUUUAAGAGUUCAUCAGUUCAUUGAUCAGCACUCCAACAACUUCACCUCCCCAGUUAUUGCUGUGAAUGUGACACCUGAUUAAAACAAGAUUAAAACCCUUUCCCUGGGUGCAACGACCCAUCAGGCCGAACCGCAGAGAAGCAGUUAACAUGUGAUAGGAUGGAGAAAGGGCGUUUAAAGGGGGAACUUAACGUAUUGUACUGAAAAUCUAUAUUAAAAAAAAGGAGUAAAAGCAAAACGAAUCGAUACGACCUUGGACCAAAGUUUCAUCCAGCUGCUGUGACUGAGGUGAGGAGGAUUGCCUCUUUUCCAGAAGGGGGUGCCGUUUCAUAUGUCAAUCUUAUCUGAAGGACCAA